CGGCUUUAGUGAUAAUUAACAAAAACAACAAUUGUAAAUUCUAAAAUUUAGACAAAUCAAUACCAACAUAUGUUUCCAGUAAAAAGAAAAGAAAACCCACCCCCAAGCUCUCAACAACAACAACAAAGGGAAAGAAAAAGGAAAAGGAAAACCCUUAUUCUCUCUUUCUCUGUUCAUUGUUAUCCACUAUCCUUAUUGUUCACUUAUCUUUCAAUCUCUCUUUUAUCAAAUGGCAAAAACUCAGAAUGAUAAUCAACCCGCUAUAUAAAAUGCAAAACCCCCAUUGACAAAGAGAAAAGAUUUGAGAUACAAGUGUCACGAGCCAAAGUGUAAAGCUCGUGACCAUGGCACAAGAAGCACCCCAUGGAGGUCUAUCAAUUAGAUGGGAAACAUUUAUCCCACGAGAACUGGCCCGAUUCAGAGAGCUAUUAAAGAAGCUUGUCAGAUUGAAGCCUGGUUGGCCCAAUAAUGAAGACAUGGCAACUUAGGCUAAUUUUAGUAACUAAUCUUAGAAGAUAGAGAGAAUCAUAUCUUGUAAAGAUUAGAUUAGAUAUGGCAAAUCUUGUAAAUCCCCAAAAUCAAAGGAUAUGGUGAAUCUCGUCUGUUGAUGUAAAUGUAUCUUGACCGUCGGUUUUGGGGGAGCUCAACUAUAAAAGAGAGCCUCCCCCUCAUUUGUACUCAUCCAUUGUAAGCUGAAUUCUUAAGAGUAAUAGAAUUCUUUGAGCAUUUACUCAAACACUUUGUAUGCAUUCUUUCUUUGGCUUUCUGUUGUUCACUUGUAACUUCUUUUGGCACAAUCGCUUCCGCUAUACAAAUUGGUGCCUUGGAGGAGUUCUAAAGAAUCCUCACUUUUGGGCGUAAAGGCUGACUUAGGCGAGUUUGGAGCAAACGGAUCGCCUAAGGCCGCACGGAUUGCGAGACGAAAGGUCAACCCUGUGACACAAGAAGCUAGUCACUCCCCAUUGCAUAUAUAUUGACAAAAAUUUCAAAAGGUUUGCUCUUCACAAUUUUACUUAAAUUCCAAUAAAUAAAUAAAAAUUGUUAUGAACGAAAAUAGGAACAAACCAGAUCCUGUAAUCCCUCUAUUUUUUUGCUCAGCCUGUAAUCCUUCCAUUACUGAUAUUGAGAAAGAAUGAAGCCCUAAAUCCUUUUUUCCUAAUAGUGAGGAGACGAUGAAGAUAGAAAAAAUUGGAAAAAUUACGAAAACCCUAACACCAUGUUUGGUUGGGUGUAAUGGAUUAACCAUUACACCCCGAUUCGGUGGCCCCACUCAAUACGCCGUUUGGUUCGCUGUAUUGCCCUAAUACGGGCCUAUUACGUUGCGGACGGAUUCGGUAUUUUUUUUACUUCAGCGCCGAUUUCUAAUCCCUUGCAAAAGCAAAGAUUAGGUAAUCGAUC
rnacentral:lncRNA from 1 species